AAAACCCUAGAUUUGUAUCUCCUUCUCCUGUACUCCUCUUCUCUUCUCUUCCCUUCUCCCUUCUGAUACAAUCUUCAUCGAAACCCUAGCUGUUCCGUUUUCAAGCAUUGCAUCCCGGAGAUUUCUUUACAAUUUUGGUUUGAUCAUAUCACAAACUCUCUUCUCUCAAACCCCAAAUCCCAAAAUCGCAAACCUGCUUCAUCUCUCACCGAUUAAUCAUUGAUAAUCGAAGGUGAUGAUAGCUUCUUGGUACAAAUGAAUCUAACUAUUUAGAAGAUUACAAAUUGGAUUAACUGCCAUGAUUGGAAGUACGUUGGUAUGUAUGUAAUAAAACCAUUCUUUUUCCCGUUUCUUCAUAUAUCAGAGUAUAGGGUAUAUUGUAUUCUACUUAUUGAAGUUGUAAUAUUUUAAUGUUAUAUUCUGAGUUUAACUUGAAAAACGAAUAAGUAAUCAAUCAGACCAGUUGCUUUGGUUUAUAACUUGGGUGCAAAGGGCAUUUAUGAAUGUAACUAUCAAUGUAACCAUACAAUGGAAUUACGACACCUUUGGUAGAAAGAUGAAGGCAGUUGGAGCAAGUGAUCAUGGAGUGAGCCAAAGAAAGACGUACAUUCGGUGUGGGCCUUUCUAUCAGAACAUGUGUCGGAGAGGGUCAAAAAACUGAUGGUUGGUAUGCGUUCGGAGUUCGGUGGACCUGAAUUUGAGCCGUAAGUGACUGUCGUUGGAGCAACCACGUUGACAGAGGAUGCCGCACAUGACAAGUUAAAGAAGGCUUGUGAGGGUUUGAAAUCUUAUAAUGCCACUGUGGAGAAAGUGGCUACCGGAACUUUCUUUUAUCAGUGUGUGU